AAUUACUGGAAGCCUGAUUCAGCACUGUAACUCCAUUGAAAUCAGUAUGAGUUACACAGCACUAGACUGGAGUAAUGCAAUGCUACAUCAAACACCAAUGAAAUAAUUUUGCCCUGACCUGAAAUUAACUCACAUUGUUUCUGAAAUAAGAGCAGCCACAUAGGUGCAUCCAAGGAUAUUGUCAUCUGGAGUGUUUCUGUAUUUUAAGCUCCUUCUUGAUUUUCUUCUGUUUGUUCUAUAGAAUGCUGAUAAGGUGGUUCCUGUAUUUUAGAUGAGAGAAUACCAAAGUUAGAACCAUUGGCAUGAUAGAGAUAACUGCGGAAUUUUUGCUGCAGCAAAUUACAAUUGAUACCACCUACUGAGCUGAACCAUGGGAGAGGUAGCAACAUGUAAGAGUUUCCUCAUGAGAGAUCUUGGUUCAUAUGUAUAUCAUAACUGAGACAAUGAUGCAGCCGAUCCAAAACACAUAGGUAUUACUUUGUUUUACAAGUAAAACAUUUUGGAUUAGGCUAUACUCUGCACCUUCUGAAUCCUGCCAAGACUCAUCAGCAACAGCCUUUUGAUUCCUUGAAGAUGUGUCCAGCAUCUCUUGAGCUGCUGUGGCUGUUCCUUCUUGAAUACUGUCUACGUUGUCCUCAUGAGUAGAAGCUGCUGCAACAUCCAAGCCUUCACCCACAACUUCUGUAAAUUAAAGAAGUUAAUUUAUCAGUAAAGGCUUGGAGACUUAUUGCAAGGCAAGCCAGGGGUGUGAAGAUACAGCACGCCAGCCUGUCAAGCACAGGGUUGCCAGGUGUCCAGUUUUGAAUCGGACAGUCCAGUAUUUGAGCUUUCUGUUCGGGAAACACAUUGAGAAAAUAGAAAUGUCCGGUAUUUUCUAAAUAAGAUGUAAUGUAGAUUGUGACGUAAUGUCAAGUGUGUCUGGUAUUUUUGUUGACACCACCUGGCAACCCUAGUCAAGCACCAAGUCACUAUGUGGAUCCUCCUGCUACUGAAAGGUCUAUCCUGCGCUUUGAGCUGCUAUUUGAAACAAUACACCAGUGUAUAAUAAAAAGCUUAAUUAAACACCAAGGUCCACAUGUUUAACAAAAUAAGAUCUAUGGGCAGCAUACACUAACUUGAAACACCUUAAUUCACUAUAUUAGCACCUUAAAUGAAAAAGUUCAUUCUGGAAAAUGAGAGUGCCAGAUUGCUAAAAGGUAAAGUAUGUUUAAAGCUCUAGUCUAGAGCCUUGUAUCUUUUCUCCUCCAUCUCUGUCCCAUUCCCUAAUAGCAGUGGUCCCCAAUGCGGUGCCUGUGGGUGCCAUGGCGCCUGCCAGGGCAUUUAUGUACACCUGCCAAAUGAUCACAGCAUGGCCAAGCCAUUCUUGCGCCCCGGGCCCCGUCCCCUAUCCUGGGCGUGCGGCACAUGCAUGGCCCUGCCCCCAAACGGCGCAUGUGCGGCCCCGGGCACCCAGCUGCCUCAAAAGGUGGGGGACCACUGCCCUAUAGGCUUAUCCCUGGAAUGACAUGUAACCACUCUAAGUUUCCAUGACUUUUCUCCAGUAACUCUUGCUAAGAUGUUUUCUCCCAUAUGAAACUGUACAGUUAGGUGUGACUAUUUGAGGCUAUUAGAUGUUUCUUAAGAACAUUACAUUGUAGAUAAGACUUUAACAAGUUCAAGCAAGACCAUAAUUCAUAAACAUCGCUGGUAUCUGCUUUGUACUUGCAAAUAUUACAUUCCUAUAGGCCAACCUAAGAAAAUCACAGUCUUGUGUUGUUAGCUACUUUUAUCCAAGCCAGGGCACAGAUCUCUUGAUUGAAUAUUCUAGAUAAGCCUUUCUAGUAAUCCAUUUGUGAUAGGUUGACAAGGAGCUGAUAUAAUACAUUUGAUACCAUUUCUUUUGGCAAACAAUUGAAACUCUUUAGAUGUGAAUUUCAUUCCAUUGUCUCAGUCUGUUCAUUAACUCCAGGACAUGAAAACAAUAGUCUUAACACUUACAUCAUCUAUGCUGAUCUAGCUGAAUUCAUAACAAAGACAUCAGGACAUUUAGAAUGGGCAUUUGUUGCAAUCAUAGACACACCCCAAAAUUUGUCUAGCCUUGGCUGUGUGGAUUCAUAGCCAUUGCAUAGGAUGCAAAAGAGCAUGUUUAGGCAUGUACUGGCAAUCUACUAGUUUUCACCAUUUUCUCUAUUUGUGUGCAGUUUGGACCUCCCUGGCCCAGCUCCCUCGAGACCUGACUGAUCCCAGACUAGGGAGUUUUCCAGACUAAGGAAGGUUGGGGGGGACACACCAGCCUCUCCAUUGGACUCUUCUCCCCAGCUACCUGGCACCAAUGCCCUCAGCCUCCUGGCUGUGGCAGUCCUGUGGGCCCCACGAACUCAGGCAGCAGCCCUGCAGAUGCUCGUGGCCUUGCCACCAUUCACAGGCCCCUCCAGCUGUCGGCACUGUAGCCCACCCCUUCACGUCUGCAGGCUGUAGCCCACCCCUUCACGUCUGCAGGCUUGGCCUGGCCUGCUGUGAGCUCUGCUUGCCACUCCCUGUCCCCCUCCCCCACGGGAUCUGGCACCCCCACUAGCUGCCCAGCCCAGCCACCUGCAGGUUCUGGUGCACCAUGGGCUCCGCUGCCCCGUUGGGCCCUCUAGCCAGCUCUGCUCCUAGUAGCCAGCAAUCAUUGUGCUAGAGUUCUCUGGUCCAGCAACAUCUGUGGAAUUCCCAAAUGGCUUUUAGGUAAUUCUGGGAAGCCCCCAGAUUCCUAGAAAUCACCAUUCUGGUGCCACACCCUUAACCAUAACAUACACUUUACUGUUCUUUUUAAGGGAAGAAAGCUGGGAAGAGUUGUUUGUAAGCCAAAGUGCAUUCAUUCAUUGUAAUAUCAUAUAUUUUAGUGAGCACUGAAUCAUUUUUUGUUUCACAUUGCACCCUGGCUUUUAUCACUGCCAAGGGCUCAGUUUGUACCACAGAAGUUAUAUCUAUUGUUUCUGGUUCCAUUUCAGUAUCCUUAACUGCUAUUGCCAAUGGUAGCUCUGAUAAGCAAGCUUGCUAAAUGAUAAGCAAACAUUUAAAGCAGCAGUUAUUCUGUGCCUAGUGUAAAAUGUUUCCUAUGCAGAUACUGGUGAAGCUUUUUAACUCCCCAGAAAAAAUCCAGAGCUUCUCUAUCACAUUCAGGAAAGUUACAUUUGAUAGAAGUUAAAAGUUUGAGAAGCAAUUUCUGUACAAUUUCUAUCACAUGAAACUAUUUGCUCUUGUUCCAUAUUGGCGAUUGUAACAAGCUAAUGUUACAGGCAAAGAUACAUAGUGCUAUGUAAAACCCUUUCAGAUGCUAAUAGCUUAUUCAAUUGGCCUCAUCAAAAGCCUUAGUUCAGCAUAGACCAAUGCCAUUUCUGCCCACUAUGAAACAGUUCAUUCAGAGAAUAUAAUGCUGUUACUGUGGCAGGCAAGGGCCUGUUGUAAUAGGUAAUCAUUCCCAGGAAGGAACAUAAUCAUGACAGCUGCGUCUAGACUGGCAAGUUUUUUCGCAAAAGCACGUGCUUUUGUGGAAAAACUUGCCAGCUGUCUACA